UACGUAGGGGGCUAGCGUUGUCCGGAAUCAUUGGGCGUAAAGAGCGUGUAGGCGGUCCGGUAAGUCCGCUGUGAAAGUCGGGGGCUCAACCCUCGAAUGCCGGUGGAUACUGUCGGGCUAGAGUCCGGUAGGGGAGUGUGGAAUUCCUGGUGUAGCGGUGAAAUGCGCAGAUAUCAGGAGGAACACCAACGGCGAAGGCAGCACUCUGGGCCGGUACUGACGCUGAGGAGCGAAAGCGUGGGGAGCGAACAGG
rnacentral:rRNA from 1 species